UUAGGGUCCCUCUACAUGUGCAGAAAAAGCGUUAUGGGAUCUAAUUCAUGACACACAAUCAUCCCUCCUGCCAUGUCACAUUUAUGGCAGAAGGCA